UACCAGCUCUCCGAGUGGUAGGGAUGAUUAUUGGGCUUAAAGCGUCCGUAGCCGGCUUAGCAAGUCUCCUGUUAAAUUCAGCGACCUAAUCGUUGAGCCGCGGGAGACACUACUAGGCCAGGAGGCGGGAGAGGCCGACGGUAUUCUCGGGGUAGGGGUGAAAUCCUAUAAUCCCGGGAGGACCACCAGUGGCGAAGGCUGUCGGCUAGAACGCGCUCGACGGUGAGGGACGAAAGCUGGGGGAGCGAACCGGAUUAGAUACCCGGGUAGUCCCAGCUGUAAACGAUGCGGGCUAGGUGUUGGGGUGGCUACGAGCCACUUCAGUGCCGCAGGGAAGCCAUUAAGCCCGCCGCCUGGGGAGUACGGCCGCAAGGCUGAAACUUAAAGGAAUUGGCGGGGAGCACCACAAGGCGUGAAGCUUGCGGUUC
rnacentral:rRNA from 1 species